GCGAAUGUAGCUCAAUUGGUUAGAGCGCCGGACUGUGACUCCGGAGGUUGCCGGUUCGAUCCCGGUCAUUCGCC
rnacentral:tRNA from 2 species